GCGCGGGUGGUGGAAUGGUAGACACGCAUGCUUGAGGUGCAUGUGCCCUAACGGGCGUGAAGGUUCGAGUCCUUUUCCGCGCACCA
rnacentral:tRNA from 1 species